UCGACCUGAGCUCACGCAAGAGCACCCGCUGAACUUAAGCAUAUCAAUAA
rnacentral:rRNA from 1 species